UGACAUUGGUAGCGUUUUAGAAUUCCUACGCUUUACCGUCGCCUACGAAACUCGGCAAAGCGUUUGGAUUCUGAAACAUUAUCUCU
rfam:Drosophila willistoni strain TSC#14030-0811.24 scf2_1100000004590 genomic scaffold, whole genome shotgun sequence.